rnacentral:rRNA from 1 species
UACGUAGGUGGCAAGCGUUGUCCGGAAUUAUUGGGCGUAAAGCGCGCGCAGGCGGCCUUUUAAGUCUGAUGUGAAAGCCCACGGCUUAACCGUGGAAGGGCAUUGGAAACUGGAAGGCUUGAGUACAGAAGAGGAAAGCGGAAUUCCACGUGUAGCGGUGAAAUGCGCAGAUAUCAGGAGGAACACCGGUGGCGAAGGCGGUUCUCUGGGAAUAUACUGACGCUGAGGAGCGAAAGUGUGGGGAGCGAACAGG